ACUUUCAUUUUCUUGUUUCAUUAUUUUCUUGUAUAAUUUAAUUACUUAGAAUAAAGUAGCAUGCUUAUUUUUUUGCUUAAAAUUUGUUUUUAUUAUUCUGGUAAAAAGAUUAGUUGAUAUUUCUGUAAAUUUUGCAUGGAUGCUUCAAAACAAAUAUUCUGUUUAUAAAGAUACUAGGUUUGAUAUUUAAUUUUAUAGUAUCCUAACUUUGCUUUUAACACUUUUGUCAUAAACAUGUACUUUCCCGUUAUUACUGUCUUGGCCAUUGUUUUUGCCUCAGUUGUUUUGGUAUCAUUGCUCAGGGCAUAGUCGAGAGCUGUCAUUACUGCAUUUUUUUCAGCUUUACUAAGAUUGAUGACUAUAGUUGUUAAGAUACGUGAAGUGUCCAUCACGAGUGGAUCUACAGUACAUCGAGGAAGGAUUCCUCCCAGCAAGUUAACAAACAUCCACCACCUCACAUGUGCCUCUUCCUGGCUGUGUGUGUGACCUACGAGUUCUCCCAGCACAUUUCACUCCUGUAAUACAGUAUUACCAACUGUAGUCACUACACGAUACAGGAGACCCUCAAACUUCAUUCAUCUUAGAGCUAAAAUUUCGUACCCUUUUAUAAAAUCCCAUUUCCUCCACCACCACUCUCCAGGCCCCAGCCCCUAGCAACUACUUUCCUACUCUGUUUCUAGGAAUUUGACUUUUCUUUUUCUUUUUUUUUUUUUUAGAUUCCAUACAUAAGUGAUGAUACCGUGCAAUAUUUGUCUUUCUUUGGCUUAUUUCACUAAGUAUAAUGCCCUCGAGAUCCACCCGUGUUGCAAAUGCAGAAUGUCUUUCUCAUGCCUGAAUCAUCCUCCAUUGCAUACAUUUACCACCGCUCCUUUAUCUUGUUCAUUCAUCGACUGCCACUUAGGUGUUCCCAUAUCUUAGCUGCUGUGGAUCAUGCUGAUGAAGCUGCAGUGCACAGUGGAGUUGAAGAAGUCCCUUUCACAUGGCCUAGUGGUGAUGAACUGCUUCAGCUCUUGCUUGUCCAGAAAACUGUCAUUCAAACCUGAAGAACAACUUUGCUGGGUAAGGAUUCACAAGAAUCAUUUGCCAGGAGGUUGUGUAUACGUCAUCUUUUCUGCCCCUUCCCUCUCCCACCGCUGUCUCAACCGGAAAAGGAGCGGCCCUUCUCGGAGCCACCGCUAAGCAGGCUCCACAUUUCAGGCUGCAGAGCUCCUGCCACACAAGACAAAACCCAUGGAGCCCCUUCUCUGGCUCUCAGUCAAGCUGCGGUCAGGAUUGGAGCUAUACCUUCAGAAUCCAGAACUGUUUCUCACCCUUGCUCUCCAGUGUGAUGCGUUCACUUUCAGAAGCUGUGUCAUUAUGUUCCUUUCUGAGAUCCACCACCCCAAUCGUUUCUGAUCCUCUCUUCCCAUAAUCCUCACUGAUUUCUGCUCAGCCUGGGUGCUGGUCUCAGAAGUUCCCUCCCAGGGGGAGGCCCUCUCCUUCUGAAAAGGAGUAUUUGCUGGAAUCCUCUGAGAUCCUUCAGCACCGUCUCUUCCUGUGACCCCCUUAGCAACUUCCCUUAGAGACAGUGACAGCUUGGAGUAUGUAGGUUUUCUCCGUUUUUCGUUUUACUCUAAGACUGGCUCCCAGCAAUUCCCUUUCAGAAUGGAGACCUCUCCUAGUAGUGAAUUAUCUGAAUUCUAGAACCAGUACCUUUAGUAUUUUUUCUCUGCCACGGCAACCUCCCACUUUGUGGUUACCAUACCAAGUGUGAGUGAGCAUCCUACUUAAAAAUAAUUACAUAGUUUGUGUCUGUUCCACUGAAGUUCUGAGCAACCCACACACCAAACUGUUUUCAGAAGUUGGAAGAUUUGGGGGCCCCCUUGGUGGCUCAGUCGGUUAAGCAUCCGACUUCAGCUCAGGUCAUGAUUUGGGGGUCCUGGGAUACAGCCCUGCAGUAGGCUCCCCACUCAAUUGGGGAGCCCCUCCCUCCACUCACGCUCUCUCAAAUAAAAUCUUAAAAAAAAAAAAAAAAGCUUGGUUUCAGAUCUUCCUAUCUUGUCUCCAGGCCUCCUCAGAUGCAUAACAUUUAAAACCCAAACCCUGCAGCUUUGCUUGCAGCGGAACGGAAGCCGGUACAGUGGGGUACUGCCCCUCACUUGGU